rnacentral:misc_RNA from 1 species
UCUCCGUUGGUGAACCAGCGGAGGGAUCAUUACCGAAGUUACCCUUCAAAACCCACUGUGAACCAUACCUCUUGCCGCGUUGUCUCGGCGGGAGGCGUGAGGCCCUAGCGGCCCCGCGUCCCCGCCGGCAGCGCCAAACUCUAAACUGCAAAGCGUACUGCAUGCUCUGAUUUACAAAAAAAACAAGUUAAAACUUUCAACAACGGAUCUCUUGGUUCUG